UACGUAGGUGGCGAGCGUUGUCCGGAUUUACUGGGCGUAAAGAGCGCGCAGGCGGUCGUUCAAGUCGCGUGUGAAAGCGCCCGGCUCAACCGGGCGAGGCCCUUGGAGACUACAGGGCUGGAGGGCAGUAGAGGUAGGCGGAAUUCCGGGUGGAGUGGUGAAAUGCGUAGAGAUCCGGAGGAACACCAGAGGCGAAGGCGGCCUACUGGGCUGCACCUGACGCUGAGCCGCGAAAGCCAGGGGAGCGAACGGG
rnacentral:rRNA from 1 species